AUGAAUGUACUCAGGGUUUCCUUAUGCAUUUGCUCAAGUGGCUGUUGAAUCCUAGGAACAAGGCAUUGUUAGAGAUUUGGAAAAAGUCUGGUUCCUAGUCUAUCAGGUUCAAAUGAUGAUUGAGAAGGCAAAUGUGUCGCUGGAAGUUUUAGCACCCCAGGCAUGGAUCCCUUGGAUUUCUUUCAAGGACAUGAGCUGCUUGUCAUAGAGGAAAGUGAGCACACCAUGCAGUGAAGGCGUUCCCCAAAGA